GUGAGUCAUCGAAUCUUUGAACGCACCUUGCGCCUCUCGGUAUUCCGGGAGGCACGCCUGUUCGAGCGCCAUUACACACCCCAAGCUGUGCUUGAUGUUGGACGCUGUCUGUGAAAGGACAGGUCUGGAACGCGUGGGCGCCGCCGCCGGACCACGAGCGUAGCAAGACGCAAGUCAAAUCGCUCUGUGGGCUUACUCGGUGGACGGCCGUCUGUGGAUGCUGGGUACCACCUGCGUCGACAACACCAUACCAAAGUUUGGCCUCGGAUCAGGCGGGGAUACCCGCUGAACUUAAGCAUA
rnacentral:misc_RNA from 1 species